rnacentral:lncRNA from 1 species
UGGAUUAAAUUUUCUUUUCAAUUAUUUAUUACACAUAUUUGCAAAGAAAAUAUAAAUAUUAAUUUAUAGGUUAAGUACAUCGAUGAUCACUUCACUAACGUGAAGUUAUUUCUAAUUCGAAUCAAACGAUUCGGAUGAGAGGGAAGCGAUUGGUUUGAGGUUAGAUUUUCACAGUAGAUGGCGCUCAUAGGCGAAAUUAUGCAUCUCGUAGCGACAAAUUCUAGCGUCACGGAUCGUAAACGGAUCAACGUAAUUUACGAUCACGAACGCGUCUAAUUCCGAUCGCACCUGUUCGAUCAAUAGAACGAUUGAUUUAUCGAAAUCUAAGAGGACAAUGGCGCCAACCAACGAUAAUAAACCGUUCCAUUGUUUAAUAGAGGAAAUCGCAUAGGUUAAAAUAAAUUUUUCCACGAAAUGUUCGUUUCAUUACGAUUAAACUACUUCGAAGAAAUAAAUUUCGAAGAACAGAGUAAAAAUAAAAUUCUGUGGAAUUAUUCGAAUACAAAAUAAUACAUGAAAGGAAGCAUAGUUAGAUGGAUGGUAACAACUGAAAUUAGAAUGAUAUCGAAGAAUAGAGUAGAUUAACCGGGCUUUGAAAUUCAGAAAUUCACGUAAAAGUAACGGAAAAUGAAUGGAAGAAGAGGAGUAUCGACAAUUGUAGAAAUCGAGAUAACCACGAUCCUGGCCUCGAAUGCGCAGGAAGCCCGAUAAUAACCGGAAGUGCACCGAGACGAGUCCAUUACCAACCUGUCCUGAAAUGCUGGGCUCGUUUCGCUUGGUCCCUGAAAAUUAGCAACGACUAACGAGCCCCGUUAUCUCCAUACCGAUUUCAUCGUGCGAGAUUCACAUUUCUCAUCUAAUUUCCUUCUCAAGUUGAAGAUUAAACGAGAAACUCGAAACUUUGGUUUUCGAAAAAUUUAAAAUUUCUUAUUAUAAAUGUCGGUAAGAUAGGAUUAUAGUAUAUAGGAUUAUAUAAACUAGAUUUAAAUGGAAUUAAAAUUUAAUAUAAGUUAGAUUUUGAACUUUUGAACAUUUAAUUUUAGGUUUAUUUAAGAAGUAUUGGGGAAAUAAGUUUAUUAAGUUAAAAUUUUGAACACGAUUAAAAUAUGUAUUUAAUAUGAAUGAUAAUUUGAUCAAUAUUAUAAUUCUCUUAAACGUUAGAUUUAUAGGGUUUUCAAAAACUUGAAAUAUCUUCGAUUCUCAUGAAAUAAGAGCAACAAGUGGCACAUAGUAUUUAUUAUCCUUCUGUUUGCUCCAAGUUCUUCCAGCUGACUAAUGCGACGCUUCACUACUAGACGUGUCUGUCAGUAAUAAAGGUCGACGCUCUAUCGAACGAUCUGAGUAGUCGCGGUACGCCUCGUGUCAGACUGCCGCUAGUGAUGGUUAACAUUUUAAGGUCAGCCAGCGACGGGUUGAAAGCUGAAUUAUUGAAAUAGUAACGAUUCAUCUUCGAGCGUGCAGAAUUUAUUCAAAUUGAAAGAGAUAUUAAUCCUGUGAAUCGUACAUGGGUGAGAAAUUCAUAUUAAAAAUAAAAUAUUACGAAAUUAAUUAUAAAUUGUUGUUAAUAAUGAAUAGAAUCUUUAUA